rnacentral:lncRNA from 1 species
AACGUCAGCAAUAAUCACUGUGGUAUUGUUGCUUAGGCAGUUUUGAAGAGUCAGAAUUGGGCUAUAAUUGAAGAGUUCAUUACCAAGAUCGGUUGGUUCCCUGAUUACAGUGGCAAGGUGAAAUAUUUAUCCUCUCCAAAAAGCUCCUGCACAACUGUUCUCCAAGUCACCCACUUCUCACUCUUUUUUCAUUCGAACCCGGAUGAGCUUGUCAGCAAAAUUAAAG